GCCGGAGUAGACCAAUGGCAGAGUCGAGUCGCUCAAACCGACUUCAGUGAGGGUUCGAAUCCCUCCUCCGGCA
rnacentral:tRNA from 1 species